UUCUGCAUGUGACAAUCAAGGGCAGGACCUGUUCCCUGUCAUCUAGGCAAGCCAAAGAGCUUUUCUGAGUGGUAGUGUUCUCAUCUGUUGUAAACUAAAUAAAAUAACUUAACAUAGUUCUCAUUGAAGUUCCCACAAGAGUAGAGAUGGAUUAGGAAGUCCUGAGUCAAGGGCAGGUCCCAUGGUUCUCUCUCUCAUCCUCUUACCCCACCCUCACCCUACAACAACAGCAGAGCAACAACAAUAACAAACCUUUAAGGUUUGUCAGAUUAGUUGUAAUUUCCAUCCAAUAUGUAUCGAGAUUUAAGACUUUGGUAGAUCAUUAAUAGAGCGUAUGGUCAUCAUCUAACAUAGUUCUUCAAGAAAAAUUAUUGCCGGCUCAUUAGUCCUUACUGAGUAUUAAGUAGACUGUUUUGAGAGCCUUAUUCUUUGCUUCUGCAGAGAACAGCGUGCAGGGGAAAUUAACCAUACCAUCUUUUGGAACACUGUAACUUGUGCUGAAAGCUGGCUAAAUGAGUUAUGACAUUUCUGAGUCUUGUUUUGCUCAUCAGUAAAAUGGGGGUGUGGUGUUCCUCCCAAAGGAUAUUUGGAGAGUGGAAGCAGCCAGUGAACAUAAAAUAUUCAACAGGUUCUGGAAAGUAAGUGCCAUGUAUAAAACAUAGCAGUCAUUACCCAUCUUUAGUGUCCUUGGCUGUUUAUCAGUAGUUGUAUGAAAGAUAACAUGAGUCAUAUGUGCAACUACAAAAUCGUUCUUAUAUAGUCUUGGAAACAGGAAGUACCCGUCAAUAAAACUUAAACAUCAAAGCUUGAGGCUUAAACAAUCAAUUUGUUUUAAGUAGAUGAAUUUAUGAAUACCGUGGUUCUUUUUUACAUAUUGGUUGGGAUUUCUGGGAUCUCAGUGCUGCUGACUUUCUAGAGAGAAGGAAUAAUGCUGGAUUCUUUCAUUCUUCAUUUCAAAGAUUCAAUCUGUUUAUAAUACAAGUACAACUGAGUGAGCUGAAAGGAAAGAGGUAUUCACAACAUCUGCAGGAUUGCAAGGAAUCAUUGUCUGGGCUGGAUGUGUUCAAUUAUCAUUGCCAGCAUUACUUAAUAGUGUACUGUAACUAUUUAUACUGUAAUAGGUAUAAUGUGUGAUGUAGAAGAAUUCAAAUAUAGGGGGGUGUAUCUUUGUUGUAUGCAAACAUGAAACCAUUUUAUAAGAAUUUCAAUGCCUUUAGAUUUUGAUGUCCACAGGGCUCGUGAAACCAAUGCCAUAAUAUAUUGAUCACUGCUUGGGUGGAUAAUCCCUGGCAAUAAUUGACAUAGAAUUUAGCCUUAAAAUUUGGAUCAAGCGGUAUCUUCCAUUAGAAGAGAUGAGCAUCCCUGUACUUAGUCAUUUUCUAAUAUAAAAGUUACCCUUUUGACAAUAAGAUAAUAUGGGUUUUCUAUCAUGUCGUGGUUACAUGUGGCCCUUUGAGAGUGCUAGAUGGUUAUUUCAGAAUUCAGAAUUACAGUGAAAAAUCAGGUCAAUUGAUCAAUUGGUACUUAAGAAGCUAUAUAAGUAUAAGUACUGUAGAUUUUACUGACAAAAGUAAGUUACAAACUUUAAAACUGUCUUUCAAAAAACAAAUCCUGGAAAAAGAAAGACCUAACUGAUAAAUGUGAGGUUUGCAUCACAGAUUUCACUGAAUGGAGCCUUAGCAACACAGCAGAUCUUUGUGUAAGGGGGGUCACAUGCUUGUUUUAGAACUCAUAUAAUAUCUAGGUAUAAAAAAGUAAUG
rnacentral:lncRNA from 1 species